GUGAAUCAUCGAAUCUUUGAACGCAAAUUGCACUCUCUUCGGAGAGUAUGCCUGUUUGUGGGUCAGCCUAAAAAUAAUCGACGUAGUCGCUGUUUCUCGCUGACAUUCGUGGGAAGUUGGGUCUUCUUAUACCUUUUGGUUUUAAGCGGCUUAAGAUUUUCUUUACGUUUCCACGAACGUUUCUAAGAUUUAAUUACACGUUUAAGGUAUCGAUCUUUAUUAGACGUGGCCGUUGCAUCGAAU
rnacentral:misc_RNA from 1 species